AUCCAGGUCUGCCUGAAGAGCAAACAAUAGAGAAAUCACCAUUGUUUCCAUUCAAGCAUAGUUUAAUGAGAAAAGCUUGACAAUAGCAGCAGUUGCGAGACAAUCUAAAACUUUUCCGUUAAAGGAAGAGCACUGGUGCUCCCACAAAUGGGUAAUUAUAUCCUGAUUCCAAGUCUUUCCAGUAGAAUGAAACAAUGUCGUUUUUCCCCUGGAUCCUAGAGGACUAGGUAUGAAAAAAGUAACCGAUUGUGAUGGUAAUAGCAGGUGACAUCAUGCAUUACCAUGGCAACCAAACUUAUAAAAUAACAAUUAUGUUAGCAGAAGUUAUUUGAAAUAGGUUCCUUGAUCAUCAAGCCCAGUGAAAAGAUGAGGCCGAUAAAGAGAAAGAUUUGUUUCUGCUACCCCUUGAGAUCAGUGCAGAUCAGGAGUCUGAUUUGGUAAUGAGCAAAUUAGUCACAGUUGGGUCUCUGUGCCCUUCCACUACCCCUGUGAGUCGUCAGAGCAAGCUCCCCAGGAAGGAAUCAGAAGCUGGAGAUGGAACAUGGGGAUUUGGGGGAAAUCAAGAAAAUAGACAUUCAGCCCUGAACCAACAGUGUGAUUUCAGAAGAAAACAUUUUAGUCACUUCAAGUUGUUUGGCCAGACCCAAACUGGAUGGCUCUUUGGGAAAUAUUCUUCUGAAGAAAUUCUGGAGGUUGCAAUGUUCUGUAAUAUUCCACAUUUAGAAUUCUUCCUCACUGAAAAAUGGAAACAGAGAUGAAGCGCAGUUUCUUGGACUCCAAGCUUGAAUGAGGCUAAGUGACAUCCGGUGAAGCCAGCGUAUGAAUUGCCUCGUCAGAGGCGCUGGCGGCAAGGAUGGUGGAGAUUGGAGUGUGCGCAGGGCAGUUGUCUCCAUGACCACACAUUCAGAGACCACAUCUGGAUCCACUCUGAAGUGAGUUCCGAACUCCAAGGUCCCCAAGGUGGCAUGUGGGGGAUGGUGCUCGUCCAGCCACAGCCCCAGGUUGAGUGAAAUGAAUGAAUUUAUCUCUGGUACCACAAGGGCCUUCUAGCUCAGCAGAGUUCUUUAUCUGUCAGCCCAGCUAGCUGGGCAGACUCAGAGCUGGGGGCCAGGCCACGGGGAGAGGGCAUGCAGGGUGGGGCAUGCAGACUUCUGGGGCAGCUGGAUGGGGGCAGGGAGGGCAGAUCCGUGACAAAGAGACUCAAGGGCCUGAUUCCCAUCCAUCAGGGAGGACGCCUCCUCACACAGCCACAGCCACAGCUGGCUGAGCUCCUGGGGCCAAAGACUCACCCUGCCCAGAGUCAGGAGGGCUGGCCAGUUGUGGUAGACCAUGGCCUCAUACUUCCCCGACUCAGCCCGACUGAGCCCAGUCCCAGGUGAGGGAGAUCCUGCAGGAGAAUGUGGAUAGCUCACAGCCACCCAUUACCCUGAUGCCAGCGUCAGAGCAUCUGAUAGCCAGUUGCAGGCAUGGGCCCUGUGGGCAGUAUGAACUGCAUGUUGGCCUCAGCCUCCCCUGCUUGCAGUGUGGGAUCUAAACCAGCUCUAGAGCCAUUGUCCAAUGUAGGGGACAGCGUUGAUACACUUUACUUUAGAUCUCUCUCUCUCUCUCUGCUCCCCUCCACUCACCCAGGUCGUCACUGGACAGCGAAGAGAAUGCAUGUGUGAAGGUGAAGGAGCAUGCAUAUAUGCAUAUGUGAGUGCAUGAGUGAGGGCAUCUGUAUGAGUGUGCAUGUGUAUGUGUCUGUGUGUCUGUGUGUAGGCAUGUACAAUAGCAGGUUUUCUGAAGGCUUACCUUAUACCCACAGCUUCAAUGACUGAGGAACAAAUCACCAAUCAAAUCUGGUGCCUGGUGACUGGUCAGCUGUUGUCAGUGCCUCCUCCAGAGGGAUUCAUUCAUUCAGUCAUAUUUAUUGAGCACUUACUGUGUGCAGAGCACUGUACUAAGCACUUGGAAAGUACAGUACAGCAAUAAAGAGAGACAAUCCCUGCCCACAUUGGGCUCACAGCCUAGAGUCAAGAAGGAUGGGGUCACUCACCCCAGGGAUUUCCUACUCCGGGUCUUACUUUCCCCUGCAGCCAGGAUCAGGUUCAGCUGCUGCCUCUGGACUCUUCGUGGGAACCAGAAACCAGAUAAAUAACCCACAGGCCAUACCUCACCAUACCAGUAUGUCCCACCUCAGAUUUUAAAUAACAAUUGCAUUUCCCCCCUCCCCUUCACAAGCCACUCCUGAGGAAGCUCCAGCUUGUUUCCUCUUCCUCCUCCUUCCACCUCUUACUCUUGUUCUUUCUCCUCCUUCUACUUCCCCUCUUCACCCUCCUCCUCUUAUUUCUCUUCCCCCUCCCUGCCAACCCCCCACUUCCUCCCCCUAAAUGAAGAAACCUCAAAGUUUAUAAAGACAUGGGAACAUUGUCACAGCAGAAGCCCAGGCUCCCCAAGUUUUCCGGUGCCGACAUGUAACCUCAUGCGCCGCCCUAUAAGGCUCAGUGCUGCUGGCUCAAUGACACUUAGGCACGGUGGAGACUUUUGACUUCAAAAUUCCCCAUCUAUCCUCCACAUAGUUAGUCUUAAUAAAAAAAUGACUUGGACCAUACAUUAUAUAUCAUCCAAAUCCACCCAGACACAAAUUAUGUAGACUACAUUGCCUAUGUAAUUUAUUUAUUAAGCAAAAGGUGAGUUUUCCCUGGUUGGGCUUGGAAGCCAAGUUUGUCACCACAGCUAAGUGAUGGGUUCCUAUUGGUCCCCUCAAUUUUGGAGGCUUCCCUCUGCACCUAUUUGUUCUACAAUCCUGCACUUGAAUUUGCAUCCUUUAUUCAUCCCUCCCUCAGUCCCACAGCACUUAUGUCCAUAUCUAUAAUUUAUUUCUACUCAUGUCUAUCUCCUCUUCUAGAAUGUAAGCUCCUUGAGGGCAGGAAACAUGUCUACCAACUCUGUUAUAUUGUACUCUCCCAUGCGCUUCAUGCGGUGCUUGAGAGUGAGUGCUCACUCAGUAAAUACAAUUAAUUGAUUGAUGGAUGGAUUGUUAGGGAUGGCACCAUGCCUCUGUCACAGCUCCAAUACCCGCUAUCCUGGUGAUUCAUAACCACUCACCAAGAUGAUGAGCACUGAUGAACUGAGAGUCGCGAAGUGAAUGCCACCAUCACUAUUACCUGUGAGCUACUGGCACAGGAAGAAAUUAAAGGAACGGUGUUGCUCUGAUAAUUUAAAUAUCUAGGGAAACCCAGUCCCCCCUAGAUCAAUUCACCCAUAACAUCAGUUAUGGUGCUUUCUCUUCCCAGCUUCUCUUUGUGGCUGAUAAUAAUGAUUAUUAUUAUCAUUAUUAUUAUUAUAGUUGCUAUUAUUAUUGUAUUUGUUACUCUGUGCCAAGCACUGCACUAGCACUGGGGUAGAUGCAAAGUAAUCAGGUUAGGCAUAGUCCCUGUCCCACAUGGGUCUCCCAGUCUAAGUGGGAGCCUUAUACAUUUAGUCUCCUUUUUAUUGAUAAAGAAACUAAGGCCCAGAAAAGUUAAGUGGAUGGGAAAAUUGGGGCCCAGAGAGCUUCAGUGACUGGCUCCCAACUCCAAGCCCCAUGCUUUCUCCAGUAGGCCACACCACCUCCUCUCAAGGACAUACUACGGGGAGGAGAGGACUAAGUGAGUUUAGGCCAAGGGGCAGGGAAGAGUCUCAGCUCUUCAGGACAGAAAUGAGAAAUGGGUGGGGGGAAUCUGGGAAAGCAACAGUACAGAAAUGCAGGAGGCCCAGGUCCAAUCAGCAUUUCCUUCCCUGCUGUCCCCGGGCAAUUGGAUGGCUGCACAGAUACUGGGGUGAGCUCAGGACCCUCCCACCAAGCCUGAAGCAGACACAAUGAGAAAGGAUUCUGAUGGGGCAGGAGUUCAAAGAGGGGGCCACUGAUGCUGCAGGAGCUGAGGGGCUAGGGAUGCAAGUAGGAUGGAGCUAACAUUUAGACAUUCAAAGUACACAUCUUCCUCCACCUCCACUUCAGACAAAGAGCCUCCAUUUUGGCGCUGGAAAAUGGGAGAAGCAAAGAAAAUCUCAUUUCAAACGAAGAUUAAUUAUCCGUAUGCCAUCAGUUCAUUUUUCGCCCCCUGAGAUUAAUUCUAUACCACUGCUUCAUUGCCAAUCCAGAGAGCAGCAUGGCAUGGGACCAAGCUCAGAGAAUCUUGUGCCAACCUUUGGGCUUCUGAGUUAAUUCACUGGGGCUGAGAUUUAUUACAUGCUUAUUAGGUGCCAAGCACUGUGCUAUACACUGGGGGCAAACACAGGAAAGUCAGAUCAGACACAGUAUGUCCCACCAAGGGCCCCUUGUUUUAGUGGGAAAAUAUAAUUACAGAAAGACAAUCCUGCUAGAACAUGCUUUUUCAUCGCAUGAUGUUGAUACAACCUGGAAGAGUUAGGGAAUAUUCAUCCCAAAAUGAGUCCAUUCUGAUAGGACACAACAGUGUGGGAAGCAGUGUAGCCUAGUGGGUAGAGCACAGGCCUGGGAGUCAGAAGGACCUGGGUUCUAAUCCUGCCUCUUCCACUUGUCUGUUGUGCCACCUUGGGCAAAUCACUUCACCUCUCUGUGCCUCAGUUAUCUCAUCUGUCCAAUGGGGAUUAAGACUGUGAGCCCCAUGUGGGGCAUGGACUGUAUCCAAUCCAACCUAAUAAGCUUGUAUCUACCCCCAGACCCUAGUACAGUGCCUGACACAAAAGAAGUGCAUAAGUACUAUUUAAAAAUACACACACACACACACACACACACAUAAUCCACACAACACCACCAGUGGAUGUGGGGAGAGAGGAAAAGAUUGUGUGCCUAAGAGGGGUGUUGAUCGAAGAGUGGUGCUGCACUAUUUCCAGGCCCCAGCUUCAGCCUGACUGUGCUGAGCUGUGCAGGACUCUGUGUAUAUGGGUGUGUGUUUGCACAUAGGCAUGUGCACGCAUGUGCACAUGCAACUCGACCACGUUUAAUACAGUAAAACUACAAUGAGUGGCCAGGAGUGCUGUGUUCUCCCAGCGGUGGACAGGACAGUCAUACAGAGACAUGUAUUGGAAAAUGUCAGUCCCAGUGGUAUCUUCAGACCACUUCCCCUUUGACCCAUUCAUUUCCAUCAAAUCACGGCUACUGGAAUGUGGUUUUCCACAGCCUGAGGUUCUACUGCAACCCCACGUCCUCUCAGAAAUGACUGCUCGCAGAACAAGAAGAGGGAAUGAUGAAGGACGGUAAACUAGGAAUUCAACAAUUCAGAGUAGUAGUGUGAUAAUCGGCAGCUAAAAUCGUGCUCUGCACUUGGGGAGAAGAGGAGAGCUCAGACUCCUCCCCACUUCCAGCCCAGUCUGGACUAACAAAUGACCUUUCCGGCACCAAGACUUCAGAGCUGGUCAGUGUGCUGAUUCCCGGGGGGUCUAGAGUCUGAUGGCACAGGGACUUGGAGCCAUGAAGCACAAGUAACUGGCCCCCUGAACCCCGCCUCCUGGGCAAGAGGGAUUCUCCCUGUGGUGGCUAGCUGAAGCUGGAAGAACACAAAGGAAAGGAAGCCAAGAUCUGUGGGUAUUUCUGAGACCCUCCCAGAAGGCUGGGUUUGCAGUAGUGACUGACUAAUUUGUAUCUACCCUAAUGCUUAGAACGGGGCUUAGGGGUAGAUUCAAAUUAAUCAGGCUAGGAUAAGUUGAGUGACUUGCCCAAGGUCACACAGCAGGCUAAUAUGUGCAAAGCACUGCACUAAGUGCUGGUAAAGAAAUAGAUGGGUGAGAUAUAGAAGCU
rnacentral:lncRNA from 1 species